GGCUCUGUCGGGGCGGACGGAGCAAGGAGGGCGAUGCACUCUGUAGUUAGCGAUGCCGCUCAGGCCUCCGGGCUCACUCUCUAUGACCAGGGAUCGUCUGGCUGGCAGGAGCGUCGUUUGCUGGCCCCCCCUGCUCGAAGUGCAGGCUCAGACUGGGGGUCUAAGGGUGGUGCCGUGCUGUGGCUCCCACUCUCCGUGUGGGAAAUCCCUGUUUGAGACCAAAAUGCCAGCCUGGAGAAUGUUCUUCCUGCAGAAAAUCUGGCAAAAUUCUCACGGAACAGCUCUGCUUUUUCAAGGCCUGGUAUUCUUCUGUCUUCUGUCCCACUACAGGGAAUAACAGUGAAAGCCCUGGUGAAGGCAGUGAUGAAGCAGAAUGUGCACAGGCUGUUGCUGUUCCUCAGAAAGUUGUUGGAUCCCUGACAAGCCUGUAGAGGCACCUCAAGGCCCUGCAAAGGUGAAUUGCUUGUGUUCAUUUCGCAUGGAUAUUGACGACAGUCAAUAUUGACUGAGAGAUAAGUUUGUUCUUUUGCGUAAACAUCACGCUGAUAACUGGUGAAGCAGGAAGGUGUAUCUUGGUCUGCAUGCUUCUGCAAGAGGACUGGUCUUUAUGGCAGGCUGAAGAGCAUAGAAGGAAGGAUGCAGCACUAUUAGGGGAAAGGUGUGGAACUGCAGAAGUAGAAGGAGGAGUUUCUGAAAGCAGCUGUUGCUCCAGCAGGUGGGCUCCAGUUGCAUUGCAAAAUGAAGCUGCAGUGGACUCAGCUGGAGAGGGCUGUGUAGAGCUACCAUUGAAAAACAAAUGUUCCAGAUUUUGUGAUAGGUGUUGGGAUUAGGUGGCUUUUAAUGUAGAUCGGCCCCUAAACUGCCUGGAAACAGGUUGCUUUGGAUAUGGAUGAGUUCUCUAAAAGCUGUUCAAGUUAUUAGAAAUCAGAUGCCUCUCCCCACUUCUAAAUCCUUCCCCUGCUUGACAAGGCCUUAUGUCUAACGUUAAGUGUUAUCUUCUUUUUGAUAAGUAGAAGGGACAGAUACUGUGAACCAUUGUGGAAAGGAGGAUAUGUUGUGCAUAAUCCAAUGGCUGUGAUCAUAGGGACCUGAAAAGUAGCCCAUUCUUUUUGAAGAAAGUGCUCUUAGGAGAGCUGAUCUUGGGUUGAGCACAGCUGACGAGUAAAGCAAACCCAAGAUAGCAGUACAGCCUGCGUACAUGUCAAAACACUUCUGUCUCUGCAGGAGUUUUAGAUUUCCAAGAAAGCAAUCCAUAAGGUUUUCCUUAAUGUCCUGCCAUUUCUAAAGCAACGGAGUUGCUGCUAACUAGGGCUGCAUGCGGUGUAACGUGUGUGUGUCUGAAUUGCUUCUGCACCUGAAUGUUGCUCUUUUCCACUGUGAUAGAAGCCAUUUGCUAGAAGGAGCAUCUUGCCAUGUACAAUAUGUCAGUGACUAACUGUCUUUCCUCUGUAGGUACAAAUUCAAAGCAGGAAGAAAUGCCCUGUGAGUUCACAAAACCCGUUUUGGCUUUGAGUAAGAAAGAGCAAAAAUUAUUUGGGAGCAUGAGAGUAAGAAGCAGCAGGUGGGAGAACACUUUGAAUUCCAUUCCGGGCUAUGUCCAGUGAAUAUCCUGGAGGACAUUGGGGUAACAAGUUUAGUCCUUAGUAUUGGGAAUGAGGUAGCGAUUUGCUUCAAAAUUAUGUGUUUAAUAAUCUUUGGUAAAUGCUCUCUGUCAUUAGGUAAGAAUUGCCAUGAUUACCUAAUGAUGCCGUACUUGGUUGUUUCUCUGUUGCACUUUUUUUUGGUGCUUGGACUUGGGUAACUGCUUUCUGGCUCUUUUGAACAGGGUGUUCCAGAGUAGAAAACAUAUCUUGUUAGAGCUUCCGAGUGUCCAGUUAUCACUUUGAAAAUCAGAUGCUGCAUGCCUGGCAGAGGUGAAGAAAAGAUAAAGUGAAGUCUUCUAGUCCCACUACGGGGACUGUCUUGGCCUAGUGCAGCUAGUGGAACUGAAUAUGGAUUGAGUGCUCUUCUGGGGCUGAAGGACAAAACUUCCAGCUGGCAGCAGAACUAACUACAAUAAUUCAGCUAGUGACUCCUGGAAUGGACUGUUAGGAUGCAGCCUGAUGAGAAAACAUUGCUGAUUUUUUUCUGUUUCAGAUUCAGAAAUAAUUCAGCUUAUUUUUGUGACCAGUCUUUGCAGCAUCACCCUUUCUGGCUGACACCUUCCAGUCUUCAUUUCGGCUGAAGACUGAAACUGGAGCUGCUCGAGUGAUCAAUCAUUUGAUCUGUUGAUGUGAAUUGUGACUACAAAUUUGAAAGUGCAUGUGUGUUUUCAGUCCAGUUCACAGCAGUACUGUUUGUCGAAGAGUUUUGUGCGGUAUGGUACUGAAGAAUUGUUCCUCUCACUGCACCUUUCUAUAAAUAUUGCUGGAAGUAGAGUAUGUUUUAACAUUUACAGUGUGCUUGGACUGCUUUUCUAUGUUGAACUUCUGUGCAAACAUAAUUUAGAGCAUCUUAGUGUAAGGAGUUUACAUUUGGUAAGAUUCAGUUUUGUUUUGUUUCUAUUUUUAAUUAUGUACAUAUAAUGGAAAAAUAUUAAAAUGAGUUGUAUUCUCUCUGGACUUUUAUGAAACUUUGCCAAUGACACUGCUUUCCAUCUUGCAAGUCCUUGUGUUCCUUGUGGCAUCCUUUCAGGGGGACAAGUGAAAUUUUGCCAUUAAUUUGAAGCAGAUUGUCUUCUCAGCUUUAUUUGGAUGGGUUAUAGCCCAGAGUGAGGUGAUUGCAAGGAUGGAGUUGUCCUUCACACAAAGGUACAAGGAUGUACUGGAAUGCUGAGAACUCACAGGGCACACAAGGAACCAAUGUCAGAAUCUAUUGUCUCAAAAUUAAAAAUAGCACAAUUUGCAAUAUUUAGCGCACUCAAAUAACCUUAACUGUUUCUUUCCAGCCUCCCACCAUCUGCUGCUUGCUGACCAACCCCCUCAGUCUGAAUACCUUGUUUCCGCCCUUUCUUAUGACAGAGUAACGUCUCCAGUUCUGAGCUGGUGUCUAAUGCACAGCUGUCUACUACAGGCAGUAUGGUUUACUGAAUACAGGCAGUAUACAGGUAGUAUGGACUGAAUCUGCUUCAGCUUCUGUUUCUGGAAAUCACUCACUUUGUGCAUACAGACAGGAAAUAAAAUGAAUCAAAGCAUGUAGGGUCUGCAAAAAGAGGAACAUACUUGAGAAAAGGUUCAGCAGGGAAAUCAUGAUUUCCCUGCGGGGCAUUCAGGCAAGGGAUGCAGCUACAAGAAAGUGUCUCUGUCCCCAGGAUGGUCUUUUCUCUUUCAGUCCCACUGGAAUCCCAGGUACAGCAAGUACUAGACAGGGUGAAGAAUCUGUACUGCUGUGCAGAAUGCGAUGAUACAAAGUGCAUGUGAUGCCCUGGAAGUUUAUUUGUUUAAAAUGUAAGUUAAGGUGCACGGUUGCUUUUUAAACAACUGGCAUAUUAAUGAUGCACACAACUAAUUGCCGGCUGUAUUAAAUCUAUUGUGUUGCCAUUUCUGCACUGUAAAAAAUUCUGUAAGAACAUACUUAAAAUGGAGAAACACGAUCUGAAUUGUGGAGUAUGUUGGGGGGGGGAGGGGAGUUAUGACAAAUACCUGUGUGAGGUGUACACAUCAAGUAUUUAGUGCUCCCCUACACCCCAAAAAGACAAGACGCUCUGUAACACUGGAACAGCAUCAGCUGAUGGUGCAUGGCCUGAAGCACGAGCCUGUGCUUUCAUGGUCUGCUCCCUCUCCAACUGUGCAUGGCUGACAUUAGUUUGCACAGGCUUUGCAAGGCAAGGAAGCAAAGCCCACAAAAAACAUGGUGUCUUCCUCUGUGGUCUCUGUCCAGCCCUCAUUAAAAUCUGUGGAAAUCCUUCUCCUACUGUUACUCUGUUCAGCAGAGCACUUGAACUGACUCACAGGCAAACUGAUGGCCUGUGCAGCACGGUAUGUUGGUGUAUGCUGUGGUUCCACUCACUUGUUCCACUGCUUCAUGCUUUUCCCUCACAGAUGCGACACCACACAUGCAAGAAACCAGUUGAACUGGGUUCCCUGCAGUCUGCUAUACAUGUUCUGAAUCAGGUGUGGGCAAAGUUGGCUUCUUCACAGACCUUGUGCCACUGCAGACACAGACUGAGGGACACUGCCUGCAUCCACAAAGAGUGCGCCCAUAGUGUGUGUCCAUGAAUGGAGAACUGUCACAUUAAACAGGUGAGAUUCUUACAGGUGGCUAAGGAGGCCCUCCCGUCAUGUCACAAGAUUGCAAAUAUUUGCUUUCUAAGCAUCCCCUCGGAGAGGAUGCCUAGGUGUGCUAAAUCUAUUUCUAGUUUCAGACUUGGUUGAAGGUUUAUUGCAGACUACCUGGGGUUGCUUCAAUUUGAAUUCAAAACAAAUCCCUUAAAGUCAAAACAAAUUGACUGGCAUCAAAAAAUGUCGAUUGUAAUCAGGAGUCCAUUGAAGUAAAAAGAAAUGUAUUAAAUUAAAACAAGUCGACUGAACUCAAAACAAUCCAGU